AGAAUAAAUGAGUCGCAACCACUACUCCCACAUCGAUAACAGUUGAAUCAAGAUGGCGGCAGAGGGCGAGUACGAGUCGAUCCUGUGCGUGAAGCCCGAUGUCAACGUGCAUCGCAUCCCGCCGUGAGCCUCCAGUACAGGUGCGUGAAACAAGAGCAUGAAUUCAGUAAAAGUGCCCAGCUCGGGGAUUCGGGACCAAAACUGGACUUGGGCUUCAAAGAUGACCAGCGCUAGUUCAGACCUGUAGGGAGGCUCCUCUGCUCCUGCAAGGUCAUUUCCCAUCCUGGACCAGAACUUCCCUCUGUGCGCUCCGAGCGACGCGCAGACAGGAAAUGACGUCACCGCAAAUAUGACACCGCGUCUUUCUCGGCUCACUCCCUCAGAAGCACGUUGGCACGCACACGCACACGCGGCGUAUCAG